rnacentral:rRNA from 1 species
AUUAGUUUUUUAAUUGAAGGCUAGAAUGAAUGGUUGGACAAGAAAUAAUCUGUCUUAAUUAAAUAAAUUGAAUUUAACUUUUAAGUGAAAAGGCUUAAAUAAUCUAAAGGGACGAUAAGACCCUAUAAAACUUUAUAUUUAAUAAUAGUAAUUAAUUUUAUUUUAAGAGUAUUAUUUAAAAAUAUUUGGUUGGGGUGACAAGGAUAAAAUAUAAAAUAACUGUCUUUUUUUAUUACAAUAAUAUUUGGUUUAAUGAUCCUGAAAUGGAUUAAAGAUUAAGUUACUUUAGGGAUAACAGCGUAAUUUUCUUUAAGAGUUCUUAUCGACAAGAAA